GGCCUUGUGGCGCAACGGUAGCGCGUUCGACUCCAGAUCGAAAGGUUAUCCGUUCAAAUCGGGUCAGGGUCA
rfam:Glomerella graminicola M1.001 genomic scaffold supercont1.14, whole genome shotgun sequence.